GAUGAAGAACGUAGCGAAAUGCGAUAAGUAAUGUGAAUUGCAGAAUUCAGUGAAUCAUCGAAUCUUUGAACGCACAUUGCGCCCAUUAGUAUUCUAGUGGGCAUGCCUGUUCGAGCGUCAUUAAGUCCACUUAAGCCCUGCUUAGUGUUGGGAGACUGCUCCAGCGGUGCUACCCUGUAGCUACCCUGCAGCUCCUCAAAGACAGCGGCGGAGUUGUGGUAUCCUCUGAGCUUAGUAACUUGUUCUAGCUUUCGAGUACACCACUUCCCCUGCCGUAAAACCCUUAAUUUUUAAUGGUUGACCUCGGAUCAGGUAGGAAUACCCGCUGAACUUAAGCAUAUCAAUAAGCGGAAGGA
rnacentral:misc_RNA from 1 species